rnacentral:rRNA from 1 species
UACGUAGGGACCGAGCGUUGUCCGGAUUCAUUGGGCGUAAAGAGCUCGUAGGCGGCUAUUCAAGUCGAACGUGAAAUCUCGGAGCUCAACUCCGAAACUGCGUUCGAUACUGGGUAGCUAGAGUCUGGUAGGGGGAUCUGGAAUUCCUGGUGUAGCGGUGGAAUGCGCAGAUAUCAGGAGGAACACCGGUGGCGAAGGCGGGAUCCUGGGCCAGUACUGACGCUGAGGAGCGAAAGCCAGGGGAGCAAACGGG